rnacentral:rRNA from 1 species
AUUGAACGCUGGCGGCAGGCUUAACACAUGCAAGUCGAGCGGAGAGAGGUAGCUUGCUACUGAUCUUAGCGGCGGACGGGUGAGUAAUGCUUAGGAAUCUGCCUAUUAGUGGGGGACAACAUUUCGAAAGGAAUGCUAAUACCGCAUACGUCCUACGGGAGAAAGCAGGGGAUCUUCGGACCUUGCGCUAAUAGAUGAGCCUAAGUCGGAUUAGCGAGUUGGUGGGGUAAAGGCCUACCAAGGCGACGAUCUGUAGCGGGUCUGAGAGGAUGAUCCGCCACACUGGGACUGAGACACGGCCCAGACCCCUACGGGAGGCAGCAGUGGGGAAUAUUGGACAAUGGGCGCAAGCCUGAUCUAGCCAUGCCGCGUGUGUGAGGAAGGCCUUAUGGUUGUAAAGCACUUUAAGCGAGGAGGAGGCUACUUUAGAUAAUACCUAGAGAUAGUGGACGUUACUCGCAGAAUAAGCACCGGCUAACUCUGUGUCAGCAGCCGCGGUAAUAC